GUUGACCAGGAUGGUCUCGAUUUCUUGACCUCGUGAUCCACCGGCCUCGGCCUCCCAAAGUGCUGGGAUUACAGGCAUGAGCCCCCACGCCUGGCCUAUUAUUUUUUUUAUUAUUGAGGCUGAACAUGUUUUGUUAACAUCAUUAUUAUUCGUUCCCUCUUCUAUUUGAUGUCUCCAGGUUAUCAAACUGCCUUCUUAGUCACUUUUAUUUAGGGUACUUUAUUUUUGCAAUUUGAAAUUAUUACACGUGUUUGAUAAAGGAAAGUAUUUUAUCAUGUUUAAUGGGAAUUGUUUGCCUUAGCAGUGCUCUAUUAGAAGACUUUUAAAAAAUAUUUAGGGUAGUUCCAAAAAUUUUAAGCAGCAGAUUUUCGUUUGCCUUUGAUUUUAACAACAUGAUAUACACGGGAGGUCUACUUUGGGGUUACUCUAGAAAGAGGAUUUGUGAAAAACUUACUUGUUAAAUAUUGAAGUUGAAAAUUUAUUUGUAUCAGUUUGCUUUUGCUGUGCAAUAAUAUAUCAUUUGAAAAGGUAGUAUCUUUCAGCAACAAUAAUUUGAUGAUCCUGCUGUUCUGCUGGAUAUUUAUUAUUUUUCAGGUUGGUUUGUUUGAUACUGGCUUGGUUGGCUCUUAUGCAUACAAACAGCUGUGAGGAGAUAGAACAUUGAUUAUUGACUGAAUAAUCUAGAUUAUGACCACUCAUAUAUGAGGUGUUAGUAGGCUGUUUGUCAAGGUGAUAAAGACAUUUGGGAUACAUAACUAAUCAUCAUGCAUGCUAUCUAUCCUAUGCUUACCAGGGUUCCAAAAGCAGCAAGAGAGUGCAAAAAAAGCCAUCAUUCAGAGAAGCUUUCGAAGCUAACUUGCUAAAGCCUUCCCAAAUUCUGGUCUCUACAACUAUUUCAUCACUUUAAAUUCUUUAAUCACUGAGAUCACUCUGUACCCUCUCUCACCAACCCUGGCCAACACUUUGCUACUGGUGAGUACCCUAUUACUUUUGAUGUUUAACUUGGAACUGAGCACAUAUAUUUACUUAUAGUUUCAUUCUCUUGACAGCAUUUGAAUGAAUGGGCCAUAUGGUUUGGAAUCAUCAAAUUCUUGGCUGGAAGAAGAAUUUGAAGCUGCAGUUGCCUCUGUACCUUGAUAAAUAUUAUUAGGUUACCUCAUCAAGAUUACUAAAGCUCAAUUUCUCUACUUUUACAAUAGAAUUGAUAGUGCCUUUUUUGGGGUGUUGGAAUAUUUAGUGAAAUUAUCUUUAAAAAAUGCUAAAGUAAGCGUCAAUGAAGUAGAGGUAUUAUUUCCCUUAUAAGAAUUAGAGGCCGGGUACGGUGGCCGAUGCCUGUAAUCCUAGCACCCUCGGAGUCUCAGGUAGGAGGAUCACCUGAGGUCAGGUGUUCCAGAACAGCCUGGCCAACAUAGUGAAACCCUGUCUCUACUAAAAAUGCAGAAAUUAUCUGGGAGUGGUGGCAGUUUCCUGUAAUCCCAGCUACUGGGGAGGCUGAAGCAAUAAAAUGCACCCUGGAGGUGGAGGUUGCAGCCAAUGAUGACUGCACUCCAGCCUGAGCAAUAGAGUGAUAGAGUAGACUCCAUCUCAAAAAACUAACAAACAAACAAAAAACAAACAAACAGAAUUAGCCUUUUUUUUUUUUUCUGGAAUCUUGUUUUAAACUUCCAAUGCCUUGUGAGAUUUAACUAGGUUGAAUAAAUGAGUACUCACACGAGUCCAGCCUAUUUUUUUGAGGAUAAAUAAUCUACCAAGGACUGUUAAUAAAUUGGUAGCAUUGUCUUAGUAUUUUUUUUUUACUGAUAUUCAAGCAGUUUUAAAUUUUGUAUUUUUAGUGCG
rnacentral:lncRNA from 1 species